UACGGAGGGGGCAAGCGUUGUCCGGAAUCAUUGGGCGUAAAGCGCGCGUAGGCGGCCCAGUAAGUCCGUUGUAAAAGUCAAAGGCUCAACCUUUGAAAGCCGAUGGAUACUGCUGGGCUAGAGUCCGGAAGAGGCGAGUGGAAUUCCUGGUGUAGCGGUGGAAUGCGCAGAUAUCAGGAGGAACACCGAUAGCGAAGGCAGCUCGCUGGGACGGUACUGACGCUGAGGCGCGAAAGCGUGGGGAGCGAACAGG
rnacentral:rRNA from 1 species